CUGCAGUAUAAAAGCAAGAAUCACAUCACUUAGGCUUGUCAUAAUCACUUAAAUUGCAUUACUGUAAAAUUGGAUAGAUUUGUUCAGAAUGCCGGAAGUACUGCAAUGGCAAAGAAACUAUCGUUUCAUGAAAGCAGCUAAACUUAUUGAUGGAAAGAAAAUUGCUCAGGAAAUUCGAACAGAAGUUAAAGCGCAAGUGGAGGAAUGGGUUAAGCAGGGCCAUCGCAAUCCAUGUCUAAUCGCUAUAUUAGUCGGAGAGGACCCAGCAAGUGAAAAAUAUGUAGCAAACAAAAUGAUAGCGGCAAAAGAAGUUGGUGAGAAUCAAUUCACAAACAAUACGGUUACCGAAUACUACAACCGAAUCAGAAGUCAUCGACAAAAUACAUAAACUCAACCAUGAUUCGUCUGUUGAUGGUAUUCUAGUGCAGUUGCCAGUACCCGCGCAUAUUUGUGAGCGAAAUGUAUGCAAUGCUGUUGAUCCUUUGAAAGAUGUUGAUGGAUUUCAUACAACAAAUAUUGGUAGAUUAACGCUGAAUACCGAUACGUUUGUUCCUGCGACUGCUUUGGCUGUUUAUGAACUAAUAAAACGGUAUAAAAUUGACACCUUUGGAAAAAAUGUGGUGGUCUGUGGUCGUUCUAAAAACGUAGGACUUCCAAUCGCCAUUCUUCUACAUUCCGAUGCUAAUAAUGAAUUACCCGGCUGCGAAGCUACGGUAACAAUAUGCCAUCGUCACACUCCACCUGAAGAACUAGCAUUUUUCGCCAAACGAGCCGAUAUUAUAAUAAGUGCUACAGGAGUAGUAAAUUUGAUUAAACCAGAAAUGGUUAAGCCUGGCGCAUGUAUUAUAGAUGUAGGAAUUACUAGAAUAACCACAGAGAACGGCAAAACGAAACUAGUUGGAGAUGUGGACUUUGAAGGCGUAAGUAAAAUAGCCGGGUAUAUAACUCCGGUACCCGGAGGAGUUGGACCAAUGACUGUGGCAAUGCUGAUGUUUAACACGUAUAAGGCAGCCAAGCAUACCAUCCACUCUAUAUGCAGUGAAUAACAGCAUUAUUUCAAUUUCACCUAUUUAUUUAUUGUACAACUUCAGUAUUAUAGUUGUAUGAAUAAAAUUGAACAAACAAUUUUAAAAA
rnacentral:misc_RNA from 1 species